GACGAACGCUGGCGGCGUGCUUAACACAUGCGAGUCGAACGGAAAGGCCCUGCUUGCAGGGUACUCGAGUGGCGAACGGGUGAGUAACACGUGGGUGAUCUGCCCUGCACUUCGGGAUAAGCUUGGGAAACUGGGUCUAAUACCGGAUAGGAACCAUCUUUAGUGUGGUGGUUGGAAAGUUUUUUCGGUGUAGGAUGAGCUCGCGGCCUAUCAGCUUGUUGGUGGGGUAAUGGCCUACCAAGGCGGCGACGGGUAGCCGGCCUGAGAGGGUGUACGGCCACAGUGGGACUGAGAUACGGCCCAGACUCCUACGGGAGGCAGCAGUGGGGAAUAUUGCACAAUGGGCGCAAGCCUGAUGCAGCGACGCCGCGUGGGGGAUGAAGGCCUUCGGGUUGUAAACUCCUGUCGCUAGGGACGAAGCUUUGUUGUGACGGUACCUAGAUAAGAAGCACCGGCUAACUACGUG
rnacentral:rRNA from 1 species